GGAGCAGUGUGUGUGUGUGUGUGUGUGUGUGUGUGUGUGUGUGUGUGUGUCCCUGUGCACGUGCGUGCAACUUGUCUCACGCCGGACUGUCA
rnacentral:miRNA from 1 species